GGAUUAAGUGGAGGCGUACUCGGUUGAGUACGUUUUCACCUUCGGGAAAGCGCAUUUUCCCUCUGCUUCAGCUCAAAGGACUUGUUUGUGAUGAUAUUUUUGCAGAAAAGUCCCUGAACUUCAACCCUUCAUAUCUUUUUAACCACAACUCCAAAUGAGCCCCUCCGAGAGAGAACUGUUUCCGGCAAAUCUUUUCGCGGCUUCACC